UACGGAGGAUCCAAGCGUUAUCCGGAUUUAUUGGGUUUAAAGGGUGCGUAGGCGGCCUGUUAAGUCAGAGGUGAAAGACGGUAGCUCAACUAUCGCAGUGCCUUUGAUACUGACGGGCUUGAAUAAACUAGAGGUAGGCGGAAUGAGACAAGUAGCGGUGAAAUGCAUAGAUAUGUCUCAGAACACCGAUUGCGAAGGCAGCUUACUAUGGUUUUAUUGACGCUGAGGCACGAAAGCGUGGGGAUCAAACAGG
rnacentral:rRNA from 1 species